UACGGAGGGUGCGAGCGUUAAUCGGAAUUACUGGGCGUAAAGCGCGCGUAGGUGGCUAAGUAAGCCGGUUGUGAAAGCCCCGGGAUCAACCUGGGAACGGCAUCCGGAACUGUUUAGCUAGAGUGCAGGAGAGGAAGGUAGAAUUCCCGGUGUAGCGGUGAAAUGCGUAGAGAUCGGGAGGAAUACCAGUGGCGAAGGCGGCCUUCUGGACUGACACUGACACUGAGGUGCGAAAGCGUGGGUAGCAAACAGG
rnacentral:rRNA from 1 species